ensembl:lncRNA
GUGAAAGAAGAUAGUAAUAUACAGUUCAUCUGAGUUUUUGUGAGUUAAACGAACAUUAACGCCAUCGUCGUCUGAGACUGGAAACGGAGCUGGUGCAGAAGUUCGGCUGAUUGCGUCAUCGAACAGCGUGAGAGACUGGCUGAGAGCACGAGAGUUAGUUGCUGGAGCCGUGAGUUUCUUCCUGAACGCUGUUGUUUUGCAUCUUUCGAACUGUAUGUAUUUUUGAGAGUUUUUCUGCGUGCCUGAGUCAUUAAUGAGCUGUGCUUUGGACUGAGAGACGUUAAUUUCUUCCUGCUUGUCAGUCAAGUGCACUUGUUAGUGCGUGAGAAGAUGUAAAUGAACUGGAAGUGAUUGUUUUUUCGUUUUCGCUCUCUCUCUCUUUUUGCAUUUUUGUAGAGACUGCCCAUUGCCUAAGAUCCGUUUUGCUUUUGGGAAACUUUUAUUAUUAUUUUUUAUUUUUUUUCUUAUUGAGACUGAGUCAGUGCGUGCUGUGGCAGAGCUGCGCCAUUUUGUUCCAGGAAAUUCCGGGUUUUUUUUUGGAAAUUUGCUAGUUUUAUUAUUAUUACCCUGCCAUCCUGACGACAUCUCCUUACUUUCCUGUCCCAGCUGUUCAUUUCUCUAUUACAGGUCAUCUCAAGUCAUUGCAAGUAAUUUCUUCAAUUUCAUCAUCGCUAAAGACUGGUACAACGUUCAUUGCACAU